GAUCGCAGGUAGCUGACUUAGCGA
rnacentral:siRNA from 1 species